rnacentral:rRNA from 1 species
GACGAACGUUGGCGGCGUGCUUAACACAUGCAAGUCGAACGGAAAGGCCCUGCUUUUGUGGGGUGCUCGAGUGGCGAACGGGUGAGUAACACGUGAGUAACCUGCCCUUGACUUUGGGAUAACUUCAGGAAACUGGGGCUAAUACCGGAUAGGAGCUCCUGCUGCAUGGUGGGGGUUGGAAAGUUUCGGCGGUUGGGGAUGGACUCGCGGCUUAUCAGCUUGUUGGUGGGGUAGUGGCUUACCAAGGCUUUGACGGGUAGCCGGCCUGAGAGGGUGACCGGCCACAUUGGGACUGAGAUACGGCCCAGACUCCUACGGGAGGCAGCAGUGGGGAAUAUUGCACAAUGGGCGGAAGCCUGAUGCAGCAACGCCGCGUGCGGGAUGACGGCCUUCGGGUUGUAAACCGCUUUCGCCUGUGACGAAGCGUGAGUGACGGUAAUGGGUAAAGAAGCACCGGCUAACUACGUGCCAGCAGCCGCGGUGAUACGUAGGGUGCGAGCGUUGUCCGGAUUUAUUGGGCGUAAAGGGCUCGUAGGUGGUUGAUCGCGUCGGAAGUGUAAUCUUGGGGCUUAACCCUGAGCGUGCUUUCGAUACGGGUUGACUUGAGGAAGGUAGGGGAGAAUGGAAUUCCUGGUGGAGCGGUGGAAUGCGCAGAUAUCAGGAGGAACACCAGUGGCGAAGGCGGUUCUCUGGGCCUUUCCUGACGCUGAGGAGCGAAAGCGUGGGGAGCGAACAGGCUUAGAUACCCUGGUAGUCCACGCUGUAAACGGUGGGUACUAGGUGUGGGGUCCAUUCCACGGGUUCCGUGCCGUAGCUAACGCUUUAAGUACCCCGCCUGGGGAGUACGGCCGCAAGGCUAAAACUCAAAGGAAUUGACGGGGCCCCGCACAAGCGGCGGAGCAUGCGGAUUAAUUCGAUGCAACGCGUAGAACCUUACCUGGGUUUGACAUGGAUCGGGAGUGCUCAGAGAUGGGUGUGCCUCUUUUGGGGUCGGUUCACAGGUGGUGCAUGCCUGUCGUCAGCUCGUGUCGUGAGAUGUUGGGUUAAGUCCCGCAACGAGCGCAACCCUUGUUCACUGUUGCCAGCACGUUAUGGUGGGGACUCAGUGGAGACCGCCGGGGUCAACUCGGAGGAAGGUGGGGAUGACGUCAAGUCCUCAUGCCCCUUAUGUCCAGGGCUUCACGCAUGCUACAAUGGCUGGUACAGAGAGUGGCGAGCCUGUGAGGGUGAGCGAAUCUCGGAAAGCCGGUCUCAGUUCGGAUUGGGGUCUGCAACUCGACCUCAUGAAGUCGGAGUCGCUAGUAAUCGCAAAUCAGCAACGCUGCGGUGAAUACGUUCCCGGGGC